CAUUCAGCAUGAAUACCACCACCAUUAUUAUUACCGGCACCAUGAUUGCUGGGGUGGGCUGAUGCGCGAAAGAAUUGCAAAGAAGAGCCCACAUCCCAAAAAGAUGUGGGCUUUUUUUUA
rfam:Photobacterium gaetbulicola Gung47 chromosome 2, complete sequence.